rnacentral:rRNA from 1 species
AUUGAACGCUGGCGGAAUGCUUUACACAUGCAAGUCGAACGGCAGCACGGGGGCAGCCCUGGUGGCGAGUGGCGAACGGGUGAGUAAUACAUCGGAACGUGCCCGGUCGUGGGGGAUAACGUAGCGAAAGUUACGCUAAUACCGCAUACGAUCUGAGGAUGAAAGCGGGGGACCUUCGGGCCUCGCGCGAUCGGAGCGGCCGAUGUCAGAUUAGGUAGUUGGUGGGGUAAAGGCCUACCAAGCCGACGAUCUGUAGCUGGUCUGAGAGGACGCCCAGCCACACUGGGACUGAGACACGGCCCAGACUCCUACGGGAGGCAGCAGUGGGGAAUUUUGGACAAUGGGCGCAAGCCUGAUCCAGCCAUUCCGCGUGCAGGACGAAGGCCUUCGGGUUGUAAACUGCUUUUGUACGGAACGAAAAGGCUCUGGCUAAUACCUGGGGCUCAUGACGGUACCGUAAGAAUAAGCACCGGCUAACUACGUG